CUUAAUCGACUUAAAAGGAGAGCUUGUUGAUUUCAAGAAUCAAAGGAAUUGAAAGACCUUGUUGCGCAUUUCCAGUUGCCACCCAGUCGGUUGAUGUUGACACGGAUGGCAUCUCGGAUUUCUAGUCUCAACAAACGUCUGAAACAUAAUUCCACCGAGUCCUUCAAACCAAAAUUCAGCAUGAGUGCAAAGGCAAAAUAAAAAUCCAAUUGAGAACGAGUGCUUUUUCGUUCCUGUCCUACAUAUCCUACACAAAACACAAUACGCCCUGAUGAAGUAUAGCCAGACAGACAGUCAUUUCCUUUCUAAAUUUCAACCACAAAAUCAAAGGAAUUUCUUGCUUCGAUUACUUACGUGCAGAAGGUGCGUACGGGGGAGGGUUUCCUUUUUCCAUUUCUGGCAAGAACUAAAUAAUACUCGAUAUUCUGAAUAAACUGGAAGAGAACUUGUUUUCUAACGCCCAC